rnacentral:lncRNA from 1 species
CAAUGGGUGCACACUGUCGCGGAGGGAUGGGCCUCGCCUCUCACUGGCUUUAUGCGUCAGAACGAGUAUCUGCAAUCUUUGCAUUUCAACUGCCUUCGCCUGGCUGACGGCACCUUCACCAACAUGUCCCUCCCCAUUGUCUUGGCCAUCGACGACGAGAAGAAGGAGAGCUUGUCUGGUGUCAACGCUGUCACUCUUGUUGGUCCAGAUGGCAACGAC